ACUCAAAGGAAUUGACGGGGGCCCGCACAAGCAGCGGAGCAUGUGGUUUAAUUCGACGCAACGCGAAGAACCUUACCUGGGCUUGACAUGUUCCUGACAGCCGUGGAAACACGGUCUCCCUUCGGGGCAGGAUCACAGGUGGUGCAUGGCUGUCGUCAGCUCGUGUCGUGAGAUGUUGGGUUAAGUCCCGCAACGAGCGCAACCCCCGUCGCAUGUUGCCAGCAUUUAGUUGGGGACUCAUGCGAGACCGCCGGUGACAAACCGGAGGAAGGUGGGGAUGACGUCAAGUCAUCAUGCCCCUUAUGUCCAGGGCUACACACGUGCUACAUUGGCGCGUACAGAGGGUUGCGAUACCGCGAGGUGGAGCGAAUCCCUUAAAGCGCGUCUCGGUUCGGAUUGCAGGCUGAAACCCGCCUGCAUGAAGGCGGAGUUGCUAGUAAUCGCGGAUCAGCACUGCCGCGGUGAAUACGUUCCCGGGCCUUGCACACACCGCCCGU
rnacentral:rRNA from 1 species